AAACGAGACCGGUCAAUACCGUAGCUCGAUAUGGGGCCAAAACGGACCAACUGCUGAUUGGUUGAUUUUAUGCUAUUAGAAAAAAGCAAAAAUCAUCCGACCGUUCCCGACCGCGUGUGGGCAGUGUUGUCAAAAACGAUUGAAAAUACGAUCUGCAUACAUUUUCAUUAUGUUAUAAGUUCAUUAUAAUAAUGAAAGAGAAUUAAUUUGCCCAUUCGUUAUAAUUAUUUAAAUGCAUGAAGAAUUAAAUAAAAAUUCAACAUUCAAAACUCUUAUUACGGAGAUUGUGUCAUUUGCAGAGUUACAACAUCUCGAAAAUCUAGCUUAUGCGUUAAGGUAUUUUUACCAAAGAAUUAUGUUUACAAACAUCAUUUAGAACUAAUCCUUCAUAAGUUUUUAUUUACGAACACGCUAUGGACAAUCAAUCAAAUUAUGGAAGUUAUCUCCCUUUGCUCGUUCCCCUAAACUCAUGACAACAUUUAUGGGCUCUUCUCAUUUUUGUUUCAUCCGUCCUGUAUUUCAAAUUACUCAAAUAAAAUAUUACAAUGAUAUUUACCGUAAAAAACUUUGAUCUUGAAGCAACAUAAAAUAUUUGGCAACACUAGCCCGAACGACGAUCGAAGCGAAACGUAAAUAAACAACAAACAUUUUGGAAGAAAAGAAGAUCAAUAAGAAGCCAGUUGUCCGGUCUCGUCUCAGGU